rnacentral:rRNA from 1 species
UAAAUACUCCUGACUGACCGAUAGUGAACCAGUACCGUGAGGGAAAGGCGAAAAGAACCCCGGCGAGGGGAGUGAAAAAGAACCUGAAACCGUGUACGUACAAGCAGUGGGAGCACCUUUAUGGUGUGACUGCGUACCUUUUGUAUAAUGGGUCAGCGACUUAUAUUCUGUAGCAAGGUUAACCGGAUAGGGGAGCCGCAGGGAAACCGAGUCUUAACUGGGCGAAUUAGUUGCAGGGUAUAGACCCGAAACCCGGUGAUCUAGCCAUGGGCAGGUUGAAGGUUGGGUAACACUAACUGGAGGACCGAACCGACUAAUGUUGAAAAAUUAGCGGAUGACUUGUGGCUGGGGGUGAAAGGCCAAUCAAACCGGGAGAUAGCUGGUUCUCCCCGAAAGCU